GAGGGGGCUCCACGCAGUCGAUGCCGCCGCUCGGCGGGCCACACAGAACCGGUACGAAGGGCGAGGAGGAAGGCGCGCUCGCGCCUAGUGAAUCCGGUCUGCGGGAGAUAGCGCGGUGGGCGCCCCUGCGCAACUCGGUCGUCGGGAUGGCGGAGCGCGAGCUCCCGUCUGAAGUUGCGACCUACGCCUGCAGUGGAUCCCCUCGCACGUCGGAGUCGCGGGCAACGAGACGGCGGACCAGCUGGCCAGGCCCUGCGCAACUCGGUCGUCGGGAUGGCGGAGCGCGAGCUCCCGUCUGAAGUUGCGACCUACGCCUGCAGUGGAUCCCCUCGCACGUCGGAGUCGCGGGCAACGAGACGGCGGACCAGCUGGCCAGGCGCGCACACGACCCGUCGACCGCGCUGACAGACCGGACACCAGCACAGACGACUCCUGCAGGCCAUAGAAGAAUCGGGACUCGGAUCCAAAGGACGUCGACUAGUUUCCACCAGUAGCGAUGGGGCGGAUGUUACUUUCCCCAUUCCUUUCACUGAUACCAUUAUCAUUUACGUGCUAGGUAGCUCACUUGCCGUGGUUGUAUUUGCUGUAGAGGUAGCAUGCCACCGAUAUCGCACACCCUCGAGAUCACAGCAAUAAAGACAAUAUGUUUAAUUUCAAUGGCACCGUGCGAAGAAUCUUGCACAGAAUUCUGGCGAACUUGUAGCUUUUGCCGCGUAACGAUAAUUAGUGACUUUAAGUGAACGUAUUAUACACUAAAUUUAUAGCAUUACGUUAUCUCCUGGAAACUUAACACAAAUGUAGCAACUACAGACAUUAAUUUACUGAUAUCAGAGUUCUACCUUGUGAGUGAACGACAUUGCUGUCACUGAACAAUCCAUCCUAGGUAGGAUCAAGUGGCACUGUCUCGCAGGUGUCACCGCAGCUAAAAGAAGCAGGGAACAAACGUACAAGAAAGAACUGUUCUAUUGAUUUUUUUGGAGCGAUAAUUAUGUCGGACUUCUUGGCAUAGUCGUUCGUACAACUGUAUUGGCAGAAAGGGUGCGAAUGCAUCGCACGGCUGUUUCUUGUUCGAGGCUACGCUGUGGACACAAGUAUGUCAUAAAACUUGCUGUAACAUCUCACAAAUACUUUAAAGAUUGGAAACACCGACAAAAUAUGUUGUUGAUGCGAGUGACCAUACACACAGAUGGCUUAUUAUUAUGACAACGACAGUAAUUACAUUUAUACUCGAGGCGCCUUUCCGCCGCCACCGUCGCCGUGCGGUUACGUGUGCGGUGGUGCAAGUGCGGCCUGCUUUGCCAGCGCGCUCACGUAUGUUCGAGGCCACGUGGUGUGCUGCAUGGGAGAGAGAGAAGAGCAACUAAGCGACGCCGAACAAAGAUGGCUGAUAUCUUCAUUCUUGCUGUCCUAAUUCAUGCACACUCUUUGUUUGAGGUCACGUGGUCUCCACUCUUGGAGGCACGCCAUAGUCAUAAUAGGGGAAGGGCCUUAAAGAAGCAACAAUCUGUCAAAGUGUCUCUGAACCAACCAUCGGGCUCGGUGAGAAAAGUGCGUACUGCACUCAACAUUCGCAACUCUAAACACAUAAGCCAAAGUCACAGUCGUUCGCUGCGCGUGGAGUUCAAAUUCAGACCUCGAAGUCACCAUUUUCACCACGUCACCGUUAUCAUCAAACGCCCUCUUUUCAAACAUAGGCCUUCUCCGCACUCACUGCGAUGCUGCAGGCCAAUGACACGCGUCGUCAUAUGCAAGCUUCCAAUAGACGGCUAAUGUUGGCCGACAGCUGCCAGGACAGGUCGCCGACUCGUGUUACUCGCGCGUCCAGUGUAGGUAUGCGCCAGAGUGGUGCUGUUUUUGUGGAGUGGCAGAGCCUGGGUGGAAUGUAUACCAGGCCGGCAGAAAAGGUUGUUGACAUUACGACUCUAACGCCGUCGCUUUACAGCAGUUCGCGUGCGGCGGCAGUCGCCGCAUUUGUGUGAAAUGCACCUGACGUAAUCACUCUUUUUUGGAGUUAAUAGCAGAGACCCCACGCGUUGUUAAAAGGCAGGGUUGCCACUGCGGUGCGCGGUUACUGAAGCGCGACCUGUCGGCAAGAUGAAAUGCGCACUACCGAUGCACGGUUACGAUAGAAAACAGGCUGCACAUAGGCGAUGUCAUAAAUCGCCGAUCGUAUUGCAAAAAAGGUGUGGACUGAGCACCAUCAUCGACACCGGUCUGCUUAGAAAUCUGAUGGGCUUGAAAAUCAGAAAAGUAAAUGCGGCACUUAUAGUAUCUCCGCUCCUACUAGAUUUCGGGAAAACUUAUUUAGGUAAUAUGUUGCUGGGGACGCACAGAACUCGUCACAAAGUGUAAUUGAUGCUUGAAAUAAAGACGACCACACACCAUGUAAGAUAAGCACUCGCGCAUCUCGCGGCAGGCGCUCCUCAUCGGCCAGCGUUUCGAACACAAGUGCUCACGGACAUGAGCUAAUCUCUUUGACGUGUGCCUUUCGGUGUGGGUGCAGCACUACGGUUGUUUAAUAUGUAGCAAACGUUUAUUACAGCUUAUACUGUGUUGAAAAGUACGAGCUUGAUUUUGUUCAAAGGUGUAAUACUGUGCUUAUCGCUAUCAAUUCUUAGAUUUUCGAGUUAAAAUGAUAUUUUUUUUGGUGCAUAUGUUCAGCCACAAGGAAUACUAUGUUGACAAAACUGGCGCAAUAAAGAUUGUUUACAGGUCGGCAUAA